rnacentral:tRNA from 1 species
GCAUCUGUGGCAUAAACAGUUAAGCACUCAGCUACUAACCAAAAGGUUGGUGGUUCAAAUUCACCCAGAGGCA